GUAGGGGUGUUUUACCCAUUUGAUGUCUGUGUCUCUUAAGUGGGUAUUUCUUCAGUUGUAUUGUCUUUCAUUUUCUUUGUUCGUGUCUGUGAACGAUUUGAUUUAAAGCACCUUAAAGAGAGUUGUUCACAUCUUUCUUCUGUUUUGUAGCAUUAGUGAUAUUAUACUGUUUCUAAGUUUUUUAAUUUCUUCUGUCUAUAGUUUGUUUAAAUUUUUUGUCUCUUCUUCUUCUGUUUUUUUUUCUUUUUCUUAUCCUUUCCAACUACUGUUAUUUAUUAGUGUUUAAAUAGAUCAAAGUCUAAUUCUUUUAGUUUGAAAGUAUUUCUUUCAGUUGAAGUUGCCCUGUCAAGUGUGACAUGUAAAACAGAUGAAGAAUCAUGGAAGAAAAGGAAGCAAAACUUCAAGAACUCAACAUGUCACUACUAAUUAAGGUGAUGUUAAUUUGUUUCCUUUCUUGAGUUCUAUCUGUAGGGUUAUUUUACCCAUGUGAUGUCUGUGUCUCUAAUGUGGGUCUUUCUUCAGUUGUAUUGUCUUUCUUAUUCUUUGUUGGUGAAUGAUUUGAUUUAAAGCACCUUAAAGAGAGUUGUUCACCUCUUUUCUCUGUUUUGUAGUGUCGGUCUUUUUGUACUGUCUCUACGUUUUUUUAUUUCUUCCGUUUAUAUUAUAGUUUGUUUUGAUUUCUUCCAAUCCUUUCCAACUUUUGUUAGCAUUUUAAGUAAGUGAUUAAAGAGAAAAAAGUCUAAUUCUUUUAGUUUGAAAGCAUUUCUUUCAGCUGAAGUUACCCUUUGAAGACCAUCAAGUGUGGAAUGUGAAACAGAUGAAGAGCCAUGGAUGACAAGGAAGCCAAAAUCCUAGAACUCAACAUGUCACUUCUAGAUUAAGGUGAAGUUAAUUUGUUUCCUUUAAUGAGUUCUAUGUGUAGGGGUGUUUUACCCAUUUGAUGUCUGUGUCUCUUAAGUGGGUAUUUCUUCAGUUGUAUUGUCUUUCAUUUUCUUUGUUCGUGUCUGUGAACGAUUUGAUUUAAAGCACCUUAAAGAGAGUUGUUCACAUCUUUCUUCUGUUUUGUAGCAUUAGUGAUAUUAUACUGUUUCUAAGUUUUUUAAUUUCUUCUGUCUAUAGUUUGUUUAAAUUUUUUGUCUCUUCUUCUUGUUUUUUUUUCUUUUUCUUAUCCUUUCCAACUACUGUUAUUUAUUAGUGUUUAAAUAGAUCAAAGUCUAAUUCUUUUAGUUUGAAAGUAUUUCUUUCAGUUGAAGUUGCCCUGUCAAGUGUGACAUGUAAAACAGAUGAAGAAUCAUGGAAGAAAAGGAAGCAAAACUUCAAGAACUCAACAUGUCACUACUAAUUAAGGUGAUGUUAAUUUGUUUCCUUUCUUGAGUUCUAUCUGUAGGGUUAUUUUACCCAUGUGAUGUCUGUGUCUCUAAUGUGGGUCUUUCUUCA